rnacentral:rRNA from 1 species
GUCUACAGCCAUACCACCCUGAAUGCGCCCAAUCUGAUCUGAUGUCACAAGCUAAGCAGGGUCGGGCCUGGUUAGUACUUGGAUAGGAGACCGACUGGAAACUCCGGGUGCCGUAGGCU